rnacentral:rRNA from 1 species
UAUCGAACCAGAUAAGAUACCCUGUUAGUCCCGCACGUUAAACGAUGAAUGCCCGCUGUUGGCGAUAUAGUGUCAGCGGCCCAAGAGAAAUCGUUAAGCAUCCCACCUGGGGAGUACGCCGGCAACGGUGAAACUCAAAGGAAUUGACGGGGGCCCGCACAAGCGGAGGAACAUGUGGUUUAAUUCGAUGAUACGCGAGGAACCUUACCCGGGCUUGAACUGCAGAGGAAGGAUCUGGAGACAGUGACGCCCUUCGGGGCCUCUGUGGAGGUGCUGCAUGGUUGUCGUCAGCUCGUGCCGUGAGGUGUCGGCUUAAGUGCCAUAACGAGCGCAACCCUUUUCGUUAGUUGCCAUCAGGUGAAGCUGGGCACUCUGGCGAUACUGCCACCGUAAGGUGUGAGGAAGGUGGGGAUGACGUCAAAUCAGCACGGCCCUUACGUCCGGGGCUACACACGUGUUACAAUGGCGCAUACAGAGAGCCGGUCUCAUGCAAAUGAGGUCUAAUCAAUAAAGUGCGUCGUAGUUCGGACUGGGGUCUGCAACCCGACCCCACGAAGCUGGAUUCGCUAGUAAUCGCACAUCAGCACGGUGCGGUGAAUACGUUCCCGGGCCUUGUACACACCGCCCGUCACACCAUCCGAGUGGGGGGUACCCGAAGUCGUGAGUCUAACCGCAAGGAGGACCAUGCCGAAGGUACGCUUCGUGAGGGGGGUG